UACGUAGGGGGCAAGCGUUGUCCGGAUUCACUGGGUUUAAAGGGUGCGUAGGUGGGCAGGUAAGUCAGUGGUGAAAUCUCCGAGCUUAACUCGGAAACUGCCGUUGAUACUAUUUGUCUUGAAUAUUGUGGAGGUAAGCGGAAUAUGUCAUGUAGCGGUGAAAUGCUUAGAUAUGACAUAGAACACCAAUUGCGAAGGCAGCUUACUACACAACGAUUGACGCUGAGGCACGAAAGCGUGGGGAUCAAACAGG
rnacentral:rRNA from 1 species